UACGUAGGCAGCAAGCAUUGUUCGGAGUUACUGGGCGUAAAGGGUGCGUAGGCGGCUUUUUAAGUUUGGUGUGAAAUCUCCCGGCUCAACUGGGAGGGUGCGCCGAAUACUGAGAGGCUAGAGUGUGGGAGAGGAAAGUGGAAUUCCUGGUGUAGCGGUGAAAUGCGUAGAUAUCAGGAGGAACACCGGUGGUGUAAACGGCUUUCUGGACCAUAACUGACGCUGAGGCACGAAAGCGUGGGUAGCAAACAGG
rnacentral:rRNA from 1 species